AGAGUAUGAGGAAAAACUAAAAUAAUUCAUGAAAUUUUUAUAUUGUUGUUCUUUCUGCAGACCAAGGAAGAGCUGUGGUCGAGAUGAUGGUGGUCCUCAAAUAGUUCAUCUGCUCCUCCACUUAUGUCAUCAUUAUACAGAGCUGACUUCUGCCAUAAUUGUAACUUUCCCGAGGCCUCCCCAGACCUGC
rnacentral:lncRNA from 1 species